UACGUAGGGGGCUAGCGUUGUCCGGAAUCAUUGGGCGUAAAGAGCGUGUAGGCGGUCCGGUAAGUCCGUUGUGAAAGUCGGGGGCUCAACCCUCGAAUGCCGGUGGAUACUGUCGGGCUAGAGUGCGGAAGAGGCGAGUGGAAUUCCUGGUGUAGCGGUGAAAUGCGCAGAUAUCAGGAGGAACACCUAUUGCGAAGGCAGCUCGCUGGGACGUAACUGACGCUAAGGAGCGAAAGCGUGGGGAGCGAACAGG
rnacentral:rRNA from 1 species